UAGAUGUCAGCUCUUCCUAUCAUUGUGAAGCAGAAUUCACCAAGUGCUGGAUCGCUCGCCCACUAAUAGGGAACAUGAGCUGGGUUUAGACCGUCGUGAGACAGGUU
rnacentral:ncRNA from 1 species